rnacentral:lncRNA from 1 species
AGAUACACCUCGCCUGGGCGCAAAGACCGCAGACCAGCGGCCAGGUCGCCUCUGGCACUGACAGGACCCCAGCACCUGUCCAGGCCUGCUGUCCCGGAGGUCUUCAGAGCCGGAAAUGCAUCACCCACCUUCCUGCCCUCAGCUCGCGCCCCCCUCUAGCACACCUAGAGGCCCCCUCGGCUUGCGUGUGGGUGGUUCCUCCUGGGCUCCGCCCACCCGCGUAGCUCCGCCCUUAACCUCCCACGGAGCUGGGGAUCGCUAGUCCCCAGGGCUGGCAGGCUGACAGCCCGUGGGCAGAUUUCCCAGGAACAGGCCAGGCUCUGCUGGAGGAAGAGCCAACAUUCGCUACCCGUAAGGAAGGUGGCUGGACCGGCUGGCAUUACAGGAAUCAUUGUCGCAUGAUGUUUCAAAGACAGAAUCCCCUCUAUGCCUGGUCAAAGACAGAAUCUCCUCUACGCCUGCCGGACAAGACCCUGGGAGAGACUCACUCCUUUUCUGAGCUUUGCAGCCACAGUGCCCCAGAGGGCAGUGCUCCUGCACCUUGGGACAAACUUGUCAGUGUCCCUUGAGUAGCACCUCCCCUCCCAUCACCACUGCCACUAACAGCACACAUGGACUUGGUCUCCUAGCCCUCCAGGACUGUGCUUGAUCACCACCUGAUCCACGUGGACUUCCUGACUCCUCAUCUCCUUUCAUGCUCUGCCCUUUUUUGCAGCAUUUAACACAAUUAUUUAAUUUGGGCAAUGAUUUAAUAUCUUUCUCCCUCUAUUAGACCAUAAACUCCAAAAGUGGCAGGGAUUGUGUCUCUCUCACUCAUGGCUAUAUUUCCAGCUUUUAGCAAAGUUUCUGCCAGUAAGUGACCAAUAAAUACCUUUUGAGUGGAUGGAUAGGGCUACUCCAGAAAGGAGGGAACAAGUGGAUAUGGGCAAGAAUGAAUGAACGAAGGUAAGAAUGAAUGUAAAAUAGCCUUUCACCCAUUAAAAGCCAGGGAAUGCAUUUCAGCUCGAUGGAUUUGGCCCAAGGUUUCUGACUGUGAAUUCUAAAGCUAAGAAGUGAUAGUGCUAAGUUCUUGCUGUAGCUGCAGUCAGAGAGGGCUUCCUGGAGGCAGAAUGUGGAUGGUUCCUGCUCUCUACCAAGAAGAACUACACAAGCAAGGAAGCUCUCAAUCAGGAAGGCAUAGGACUGAUGUUUGUCUGAGGAGCCAGAGCUCCUGUUUGCAGGUGAGGAAGUUAAAGAAUAAUUUAGAGGUUUUCAGAACUGAUUGAACCACAUCAAUUGCACCAGUAGGCUAGGCUGCUUGACUAAAGCCUUGGUGUCAAUGUCAUAGCUUUCUCUUCAGUGAGCCUGCUGGCAGGAACUGGCCUGACACCCCUUGGAAGACCCCUGGUCAACAGGCCAAGAACAGCUAUCAGAGAAAGUCCCUGCUGCACUUGAACCUAGAGCCUCGGGGUAAAAGGAAGCUAUUGGUUGAGGUCCCCAUUGGCUUUGGCAUCUCGUAAUUCUGACUUUUUGUUAGAGAAGUGCACAGACAAGGCAGCUGAGCCAAUGGGAGGGAGGGCUCCAGGUGAGAGGCUCAGAGACUAAGGGCUGAGCUUCUGCUUGAAGGAUCCUCAGUCUAGAAAGUUCUGUGAGCCCCUCAGAUGAAAUUCACUCACAGUAUCUUCCAAAUGAAGUCAGUACCCCCCUCCACCUGCUCAGCUUUUCUAGGGUCUAAAGCCCAGCAUUGCUGCUUUUAUCCUCUGGGUUAGGAUAGCAAAAGCCACCAUGGAAAGACAUACAUUGAUUCUUCCCUGGCCUUGGACUAUGUAUGCAGCUAGAAGCAAAUAUCAAACAUGACUCCCACAAGGCUCCAUCCACCCCCAGAAAAGAUCUUUGACGCCAGAAUGGAAGACAGACUAGGGGAAAGAUGAAGCAAUAAAUACAAAGUGGCCCUGGGGGCCAGGGGAGCAGGGUAGAAGUAUGAGAAGAGGUUUCAGUAUAUGAACUGACAUGUACGGAAUACUAAUCUGAGCCUGGGACUGUUCUAAGUCUUUUCCAUGUUGUAUCUCUUUUUCCCUGUCCCCAUUUCACAGAUGAAGGAAUGGAGGCACAGUGAGGUUAAGUAACCUAACCAACUAGGAAGGGGAGCAUUAGUGAAGCUAUUAAGAAUGAGAAAGGGGUGCAUAUGAAAAUUUGUAAAUGCUUGGUACACAUCUGCUGAGUGAAUGAGCUAGCAAACAAAUGUGUGAGUAAAUAAAGAUUUGUGUUAUGGUUUGGAUCUGAUGUAUUCGCU